UGCCCCACCGAAGAGGGCGUCUUAACAAAAAGUGACUUCUGACAGCACACAAGAUGGCGGAUUGCACCGGAAGUCACGUGAUGCCACACCGAAGAUAGCUGAUCGGCAUGAGCCUUAUUUGACCUUCCAAAAAUGGCGGUAUUUUGCGCAUGCACCUUGGGUAGGGGAGGAAAUUGCGUCUUAGAAGGACCCCUCGCCUUUCAAAGACGUCUCUCCAAUUGCCUGAAGCCGGCCCCAACGCCGACGCCGAGGCCGCGCUUCCAGCGUGAUUUUCCGCGGCGUUUCCCGGUGCGUGGUCACGGGCCAUGGGGACACGGGCCGUGGGCCAGCGGCGCCGGGAGCACCAGCAGGAUGCAGCUGCUCUUUUGCAGGAGCCCAGGGCACAGCUGGAGAAAAGGUGGAGAGUGGCAAGCAGGAGUCCCACGUUUGGAUCCACCCUUGGAUUCCAGUUCCUCCUGGUGGGUCUGUGCUGUCCAAAGUAGAGAGGAAGGAGAUGUUGGAGUUCCUGUUUGUUCACCUGCUGAGCUUGGAAGAGACUCUUGAGUGUGAAAUUCCAGGGAAGCUGUGCUUGCUGUAGUGAGUGGAGAGAGAAGCAGUGGCAGCUGUUUGCUGUGUGCUGGUUUUCGACCGUGGCUUCGGUUCCCUGGCACUCCAGGAUUGAGAAUCCCACUGGUUCCACGAAUGAAAACAACAGGAUUGGUGUUUUGAGGGUCCAUUGGCAAAUUGCUGACAAGGAAAAGUCCCCACCAAGGUCUUGUCUGUGGCACCUGGAGCUGCCCUGGCCACGGAAAGGCUCCAAAUCUGCUGGUGUUUGAGGAGAAAUAGAAACAGGAUCCAUAACAGUUAUUUGGGGAAUUCCAUAGUGGGAAGACACAGCAGUGUCCCAGCCUGGCAGUCACUGGUCAGUUCCCCAUAGACUGUGGGGGCAGUGAGGGAAAAGCCACAUCCAUGGACACAGAGGGGACCUUCCAUCCAUAGCAGCUCCUGGCCAUGGCUGAAAGGUCAGUGAGUGGAAGAUGGGAGUAGAUGAACUCACAGUUCAGCUGGAAAAUGUUUUCCACAGGUCCUGGAGGUUGAUCUGGCAGGUGUUCCCUUUGGAAAGCUCUGGUGUUGUUCCUCUCCUGUCUCUGCCGCUCUCUCCCUACAGCUCUCAUGUCAUUGUCCCUCAGCACGAGGUGAUUUCCCUCUCUUGCUGCUGGAAGGGACUGGGAGCUUCCCAAGCAGCUGGGGACAGGACUGGCUGGAUCCUGUCAGCUCUUUCUGAAGAGAAUUGGAUCGAAUCCUGCUGGCCUCUCCCACAGCAAGGACUGCUUCUGUGUUCCCUGUCAUCAGGGAAUGUUUGUCAGCCAAGCGAGGGAGAGGAAGGGAAAUGAUGCUUGCAACAGGCACAGGUGUGUAUGUGCUGGCAGGUUCAGGGUGUCCUUGGAAUCAUGGAAUCCUUCAGGUUGGAGGAGCCCUCUGAGAUCACAGUGCCCAACCGUUCCCCAGCACUGCUGAGGCCACCACUGUCCCAUGUCCCCAAGUGCCACAUCCACACGGCUUUAAAUCCCUCCAGGGAUGGGGCCUCCACCAGUGCCCUAAGCAGCUGUGCCAGGGCUGGACAGCCUUUCCACUGAAUGGCCUCUGGCAUCAAUGCCCUGGACAAGGUGGCCUCUGCCGGGGCUUUACCAGCGACCGCCAGGCCCAGCUGCUGGGUCAGGCUGGAGACUGAAAACUCCUUUUCUCCCCCUGGAUCCCCAGUCCGUGUCCCAGAGAGGCUCCUUUCCUGCUGGCACUGCAGGGACGCUCCCGAGGCAGUGGAGAGAGGGACCCGUGCGGCUCAGUGUGGGAACCGCCGGGAUGCGCCGAGCGCAGCCGGAGCUGUGGGAAGAGAUCUCCCUCUGGGCUGCAGGCACAGGGCAGGGCCAGGAGCUUCCCGGGCAGCGUUCCCACAGCAAUUCCCUGCCAGUCUCCCUGGAUCCCACCCUGGGCACAGUGCAGACAAUCUCAGUGGCCACAGCUGGGAGCUCGGUGAAUUGGAAGCAAAGCUGAAGGGUUUGUCCACCAAGAGAGGUGGUGAUCUAUAGAGCAAAGCAGAGUGGUAUUCCACAUGGGGAAUUUGGGAUUUGGGAUGGUCCCAAUCCAUACUCCAUAAUCUUUCUGUUAAUUUUCUUUUGGAUGCUGCAGCCUGCUGGGCUGAGGGAGCUGCUCCUUUCUGUUUCUAUUUAAUUUUCUGUAUUUCAUUAAUUCUCUGUGGAAAUCUGCUUUUAAUAAAAAGGCCCAGGAGGAUA